GCACAUGUGUGUGUGUGAUAGGGUUGUGCAAAAGGAACAAGGUGUGCUUACGGAGAGGUGAGCAUUGUCCCCUUCAACAGAGUUGACGAUUACAGAGAUCAUCGCAAAAUCGACAUGCACAUGUCCCGCUGGGCAAGGAAACUCAGCGGCUUGCAAGCAUGUAGCUGCUUUACUUCUUUGCCUGGAAUGUUACUUAGAAACCGGCACGAUUUUCACUGGAGCAUCGUGUACUUCUGAAUUGCAGCAGUGGCAUAAACCUCCCAAGUUAGUAGACGAGCAGUUGUAUGGUACACUGAUCGAUGAACUGUUUCCUGCAAAACUUAGUGGUCCUUCGCCAGCAACGAGUUUCCUAAGCUCCAGUCCAUGCGAGAGUUUUACUACAUUUGCGGUGAAUGCCUCUAUCAAUCACCGAUUACAUACUAGUUUCAAUACUCACCGAAACUGCAAUUUGAUUGCCCUUUUUCAUGACCAUGACUACGCUACGGCACCGUUCGUGGAUUAUGUUAAUUCCAUUAACAUGGUAUCGGAGGAACAAAUAGAUGGUAUUGAAAAGCAAACAUUAAACCAAUCUGGUUCCACUUCAUGGUUUGAGUAUCGAAAAUCCAGAUUGACCGCUUCGAACAUACACAGUAUCAUAACUGCGAUGGAAACCAGCGAUAGAAAUAUGAGGCCUCCUAGUACCG